rnacentral:tRNA from 1 species
GGGGAUUUAGCUCAGUGGUUAGAGCGCUUGCCCGGCAAGCGCAAGGCCCUGGGUUCGGUCCCCAGCUCCG